CCUACGGGUGGCUGCAGUGGGGAAUAUUGGACAAUGGGCGAAAGCCUGAUCCAGCCAUGCCGCGUGUGUGAAGAAGGCCUUCGGGUUGUAAAGCACUUUCAGUGGGGAAGAAAGCCUUGGGGCUAAUACCCUCGAGGAAGGACAUCACCCACAGAAGAAGCACCGGCUAACUCCGUGCCAGCAGCCGCGGUAAUACGGAGGGUGCGAGCGUUAAUCGGAAUUACUGGGCGUAAAGCGCGCGUAGGCGGUCUGAUAAGCCGGUUGUGAAAGCCCCGGGCUCAACCUGGGAACGGCAUCCGGAACGGUCAGGCUAGAGUGCAGGAGAGGAAGGUAGAAUUCCCGGUGUAGCGGUGAAAUGCGGAGAGAUCGGGAGGAAUACCAGUGGCGAAGGCGGCCUUCUGGACUGACACUGACGCUGAGGUGCGAAAGCGUGGGUAGCAAACAGGAUUAGAGACCCUUGUAGUC
rnacentral:rRNA from 1 species